UUUCAACUUGAGAGUUUGAUCCUGGCUCAGAACGAACGCUGGCGGCAGGCCUAACACAUGCAAGUCGAACGCCGUAGCAAUACGGAGUGGCAGACGGGUGAGUAACGCGUGGGAACCUACCUUACGGUCGGGAAUAGCUCAGGGAAACUUGGGGUAAUACCGGAUACGCCCUUACGGGGAAAGAUUUAUCGCCGUUAGAUGGGCCCGCGUAGGAUUAGCUAGUUGGUGAGGUAACGGCUCACCAAGGCGACGAUCCUUAGCUGGUCUGAGAGGAUGAUCAGCCACACUGGGACUGAGACACGGCCCAGACUCCUACGGGAGGCAGCAGUGGGGAAUAUUGGAC
rnacentral:rRNA from 1 species